AGGAGCAGGGAGGCAAAAUCCUGGUCAGCAAAGGUCCAGAGGGCAGGUCACAGCUUUGAAAGAAUCUAGAGGCUUGGAAAUGGCAGUUCUAACACUCAGGGUUCCCAGAAGGUGGGGAAUGGCAAGCAAACACACACACACACACACACACACACACACACACACACACACACACACACUCAGCCCAGCACAAGAUUUCCCUUUCAUUCUUCCCAGCCAGCCUCUCCCAAUGGCUUACCACAGUCAAAGCUCUCCCUCAUGACUGCAACUGUGUUUUUAUCUGAGCACAGAGCCAAUACUCAUUAUUGAAACCUACUUUCUGCAAUAGACCGACUUCCUUCAGAUACAGAGCACCUAGUAACAAGCGUCUUGCAAAAUGCUGGAAGUGCAGGAUGAAGAAGGCAGAAACAACCCUGCCCUCCAGGAGCUUACAGUAUCCAGCAGGAAAGAUAAGCAAAAAGUGACUUAUGCGUGCAUGCUAUAUAAUCAUACACACAAAGAGAGACAGCGUGCGAGUGGGGAGGGACAGAAAGAGAAG